GACAGAGGCCUCAAGCGUUAGGCGGAAUCACUGGGCUUAAAGCGUGUGUAGGCGGAUCGUUAAGUGUCUUGUGAAAUCCCACGGCUCACCCGUGGAACGGCUGGGCAUACUGGCGAUCUUGGGCCAACUAGGGACAACUGGAACAAGCGGUGGAGCGGUGAAAUGCGUAGAUAUCGCUUGGAACGCCGAAGGUGAAAACAGGUUGCUGGGGUUGUGCCGACGCUGAGACACGAAAGCCAGGGGAGCAAACGGG
rnacentral:rRNA from 1 species